CGCAUAUCUUAUUAUUCUAUAAACAUACCUAUUUUACCUCAUUAGAAUAGCUCACUGUUCAUUAACCACCGGGUCAUAAUCUUAUAUGUAAAGCUCUCCUUGAAAACUUCGCACGAUAGAGUCUUCAGAUAAAUCCGAUCAAGAAGGAAGUUAUCUCUGAUAAAAAGCAUCAUGUAACUUUAAUAUGCGUUGUGUUCAGUUUUGGUAACAGUUUUGGGUUAAUGUUCUGAUACUGAUUUAUAUUUAGCUGACUUCCUCAUUUAUUACUAAUUGCUGGGUUAUUAGUUGUCCUGUAUAACCAACAUUCUGUUUCAAACAUAGCUUACGGAAUUUAGUCUGAAAAGGGACAAGAAGUUAUAAAUCAGGCAAGAAGGGGAACUAAACCUUAACACGUUUCUCCGUCAAUCGAUUCAUUGUUCUACCGACUGAAGCACUUCGACAGAUUUGCUGCGCUGUUCUUGUUAAAGAAGAGCAAGUCGAGUUAGAAACCAAUGACCCACUCGGGUGAGGACUCAAGAUUGAGUAUUCUGCGGGAAUGCUGGAAGAUUCAAGUGGCUGGCGUGGAGAGUCCUGCGAUUCGCGCCUGUCCGGGAUGUUGGAUUUUAAUUGAGCACAACGAAGGAUGCAAUCAGAUGACUUGCCGUUGCGGUCAAAAGUUUUGUUUUUUGUGUUUAAAGACAGCAAACAGCAAUGGGGCGUACCAAUGUGUUCCUGUGGAUUCCAAAUGCCCUGUUGCUCCAGUCCAGACUCAGUUGCCGAGUACGUAAAAUAACUAACUGUAUAAUAUUGUAGAUGUCGCGGUUAAGCAUUAGUUCGUAAGUAAAAAUUAACCGAUUUGAUCAAA